GAUGAACGCUAGCUACAGGCUUAACACAUGCAAGUCGAGGGGAAACGAUAGAGAAAGCUUGCUUUUUCUAGGCGUCGACCGGCGCACGGGUGAGUAACGCGUAUCCAACCUGCCCAUCACUUGGGGAUAACCUUGCGAAAGUAAGACUAAUACCCAAUGACGUCUCUAGAAGACAUCUGAAGGAGAUUAAAGAUUUAUCGGUGAUGGAUGGGGAUGCGUCUGAUUAGCUUGUUGGCGGGGUAACGGCCCACCAAGGCGACGAUCAGUAGGGGUUCUGAGAGGAAGGCCCCCCCACACUGGGACUGAGACACGGCCCAGACUCCUACGGGAGGCAGCAGUGAGGAAUAUUGGUCAAUGGGCGGAAGCCUGAACCAGCCAUGCCGCGUGAAGGAUGACUGCCCUAUGGGUUGUAAACUUCUUUUAUAAAGGAAUAAAGUCGGGUAUGGAUACCCGUUUGCAUGUACUUUAUGAAUAAGGAUCGGCUAACUCCGUGCCAGCAGCCGCGGU
rnacentral:rRNA from 1 species